rnacentral:rRNA from 1 species
CGCUGGCGGCGUGCCUAACACAUGCAAGUCGAACGGGGUAAUCCUUCGGGGUUACUUAGUGGCGAACGGGUGAGUAACGCGUGAAGAACCUGCCUUUCAGUGGGGGACAACAGUUGGAAACGACUGCUAAUACCGCAUAAGCGCACGGUACCGCAUGGUACAGUGUGAAAAACUCCGGUGGUAUAGGAUGGACCCGCGUCUGAUUAGCUAGUUGGUGAGGUAACGGCCCACCAAGGCGACGAUCAGUAGCCGGCCUGAGAGGGUGAACGGCCACAUUGGGACUGAGACACGGCCCAAACUCCUACGGGAGGCAGCAGUGGGGAAUAUUGCACAAUGGGGGAAACCCUGAUGCAGCGACGCCGCGUGAGUGAAGAAGUAUUUCGGUAUGUAAAGCUCUAUCAGCAGGGAAGAAAAUGACGGUACCUGACUAAGAAGCCCCGGCUAACUACGUG